CGGCGAGUGAAGCGGGAAAAGCUCGAAUUUAAAAUCUGGCGGUCUUUGGCCGUCCGAGUUGUAAUCUGGAGAAGCGUUUUCCGCGUCGGACCGUGUACAAGUCUCCUGGAACGGAGCGUCAUAGAGGGUGAGAAUCCCGUCUUUGACACGGACUGCCGAUGCUAUGUGAUGCGCUCUCAAAGAGUCGAGUUGUUUGGGAAUGCAGCUCAAAAUGGGUGGUAAAUUCCAUCUAAAGCUAAAUAUUGGCGAGAGACCGAUAGCGAACAAGUACCGUGAGGGAAAGAUGAAAAGAACUCUGGAAAGAGAGUUAAACAGUACGUGAAAUUGUUGAAAGGGAAACGCUUGAAGUCAGUCGCGUCUGCUGGGGAUCAACCUUGCUCCUUUGCUUGGUGUACUUCCUAGUUUGACGGGUCAGCAUCGGUUAUGAUUGCUGGAAAAAGGGUGGAGGAAUGUGGCAUCUUCGGGUGUGUUAUAGCCUCUGCUCUCAUACAGCGGUUGGGACCGAGGAACUCAGCACGCCUUUUUGGCCGGGGUUCGCCCACGUACGUGCU
rnacentral:rRNA from 1 species